rnacentral:RNase_P_RNA from 1 species
GGUAGUGGAAGACCAGCUGACGGUACCAUUUUGUCAGGUAGUUCGAGCAGCCCAACUGAACGCAAGUGAAGUUGUGCAUCGGAUCGCGCCUACGAAAUGGCGCUGAGGAAAGUCCGCUCACUCAUUCCAAAAAAAGAAACCUGAGAAGGUUUCCUAAAGAGCAGAAACGAACCACUCAAAAAUUACAAUGACCUUAAGUGAGGUUUUUUGAGAAAGGAUGAAACGUGCUUUAGGUUAAACUGAACUGAAAUAAGUUCAGGGAGUGCAAGUCUUUAAGACGCUUAGGCGAAUGCUGGUAACAGCCUUUUAAAAAAAGGCUGGCGAAAAUUUCGUCAACCUUUUAACAAAGGUUGAAAACAAAAAGCGGCUUACUCUCCACAACC